rnacentral:rRNA from 1 species
GAGUUUGAUCAUGGCUCAGAACGUACGCUGGCGGCACGCCUAACACAUGCAAGUCGAACGAAGUAGCAAUACUUAGUGGCAGACGGGUGAGUAACAUGUAGGUAUCUGCCCUUUGGCCUGGAAUAACACGAGGAAACUUGUGCUAAUACCGGAUGAGUCUUUACGGAGAAAGCUUUAUGCACCAUUGGAUGAGCCUGCACUUGAUUAGUUUGUUGGUGGGGUAAUGGCCUACCAAGACUGUGAUCAAUAGCUGAUUUGAGAGGAUGAUCAGCCACAUUGGGACUGAGACACGGCCCAAACUCCUACGGGAGGCAGCAGUGGGGAAUCUUGCACAAUGGAGGAAACUCUGAUGCAGCGAUGCCGCGUGAGUGAAGAAGGCCCUUGGGUUGUAAAGCUCUUUCGUCGGGGAAGAAAAUGACUGUACCCGAAUAAGAAGGUCCGGCUAACUUCGUGCCAGCAGCCGCGGUAAUACGAAGGGACCUAGCGUAGUUCGGAAUUACUGGGCUUAAAGAGUUCGUAGGUGGUUGAAAAAGUUAGUGGUGAAAUCCCAGAGCUUAACUCUGGAACUGCCAUUAAAACUUUUCAGCUAGAGUAUGAUAGAGGAAAGCAGAAUUUCUAGUGUAGAGGUGAAAUUCGUAGAUAUUAGAAAGAAUACCAAUUGCGAAGGCAGCUUUCUGGAUCAUUACUGACACUGAGGAACGAAAGCAUGGGUAGCGAAGAGGAUUAGAUACCCUCGUAGUCCAUGCCGUAAACGAUGUGUGUUAGACGUUGGAAAUUUAUUUUCAGUGUCGCAGGGAAACCGAUAAACACACCGCCUGGGG